ACGAACGCUGGCGGCGUGCUUAACACAUGCAAGUCGAACGGAAAGGCCCCUUUGGGGGUACUCGAGUGGCGAACGGGUGAGUAACACGUGAGUAACCUGCCCUUGACUUCGGGAUAACUUCAGGAAACUGGGGCUAAUACCGGAUAGGAAUCCUUGCUGCAUGGUGGGGGUUGGAAAGCUUCGGCGGUUUUGGAUGGACUCGCGGCUUAUCAGCUUGUUGGUGGGGUAGUGGCUUACCAAGGCUUUGACGGGUAGCCGGCCUGAGAGGGCGACCGGCCACAUUGGGACUGAGAUACGGCCCAGACUCCUACGGGAGGCAGCAGUGGGGAAUAUUGCACAAUGGGCGGAAGCCUGAUGCAGCAACGCCGCGUGCGGGAUGACGGCCUUCGGGUUGUAAACCGCUUUCAGCAGGGGCGAAGCUUGUGGUGACGGUGCCUGCAGAAGAAGCACCGGCUAACUACGUG
rnacentral:rRNA from 1 species